GACGUCUCCCGUCGCCCCCAUGGGAGAGGGUCCCCGCGGCCUCCAGGCUGCGCCCACGUGCGCGCAGGGUCGUCCGUCGCCCCGAGCGCCCGCUCUCCGGCCCGGGCGUGGGAGGCGCCUAGGAAGAGAGCCGAUCUGGAGUAGGCACCCGGCGGCCGGGAGGCUGGAAGGCGUCUGCCCCCAAGAGCUCCCUGGCCGUGCGCGCCGCGUCAACCCCCUUGGCAGAGCCGCGCGCCGAUGAGUGUGGCCACGCUAGGAGAACGCAGCACUGGAGCUGGCCCCAGGCGGGCAGUGGCCUCGGGCGAGGGCAGAAGGGCACUCCGGGCAGUGAAUAGAACACUUGCUUAUCCCUUCAGAGGACAAGCCGGUGGCAGGCUUGGAGCCCCCAGUGACGGGGUCACCUAGGGGUCACUGACCUACAGGAAUUCCUUCUCUUAGCAAGGAACUGCUUGAGAUCUCCUUCAUAUCUCCAGGACCUUGUACAGUUCAAGAUACAUAAUAAUUUCUUGAGGGGAAAAAAAAAAAGCUUGUUAAAUAAAAUAAUUAGCAAAUACUCAGCCUUCAAAGUCCCCAGAGACUGGUUCUUGGUGCAUCCUAAUUGCUGCAAAAUUGCUUGUCGAAUGAAAAAAAUAUCAGUGGAUCUUCAGGCUUCA